rnacentral:rRNA from 1 species
GACGUAGGAUGCAAGCGUUAUCCGGAAUUAUUGGGCGUAAAGCGUUCGUAGGUGGUUUGUUAAGUUGGAUGUUAAAUCCCUGAGCUCAACUCAGGAUUGGUAUCCAAAACUAGCAAGCUGGAGACAGGUAGAGGUAGAUGGAACUCUGUGUGUAGGGGUAAUAUCCGUAGAUAUACAGAAGAACACCAAAAGCGAAAGCAAUCUACUGGACCUGUUCUGACACUCAAGAACGAAAGCGUGGGGAGCAAACGGG